rnacentral:rRNA from 1 species
GACGAACGCUGGCGGCGUGCUUAACACAUGCAAGUCGAACGGAAAGGCCCUGCUUUUGUGGGGUGCUCGAUUGGCGAACGGGUGAGUAACACGUGAGUAACCUGCCCUUGACUUUGGGAUAACUUCAGGAAACUGGGGCUAAUACCGGAUAGGAGCUCCUGCUGCAUGGUGGGGGUUGGAAAGUUUCGGCGGUUGGGGAUGGACUCGCGGCUUAUCAGCUGGUUGGUGGGGUAGUGGCUUACCAAGGCUUUGACGGGUAGCCGGCCUGAGAGGGUGACCGGCCACAUUGGGACUGAGAUACGGACCAGACUCCUACGGGAGGCAGCAGUGGGGAAUAUUGCACAAUGAGCGGAAGCCUGAUGCAGCAACGCCGCGUGCGGGAUGACGGCCUUCGGGUUGUAAACCGCUUUCGCCUGUGACGAAGCGUGAGUGACGGUAAUGGGUAAAGAAGCACCGGCUAACUACGUG